rnacentral:rRNA from 1 species
CUACGGGGGGCAGCAGUGAGGAAUAUUGCACAAUGGGGGGAACCCUGAUGCAGCAACGCCGCGUGGAGGAUGACGCAUUUCGGUGUGUAAACUCCUUUUAUAUGUCAAGAAAAUGACGGUAGCAUAUGAAUAAGCACCGGCUAACUCCGUGCCAGCAGCCGCGGUAAUGCGGAGGGUGCAAGCGUUACUCGGACUCACUGGGCGUAAAGGACGCGUAGGCGGGUUGGAAAGUCAGGUGUGAAAUCCUACAGCUUAACUGUAGAACUGCACUUGAAACUUCUAAUCUAGAGUAUGGGAGGGGGAGAUGGAAUUAGUGGUGUAGGGGUAAAAUCCGUAGACAUCACUAGGAAUACCUAAAGCGAAGGCGAUCUCCUGGAACAUUACUGACGCUAAGGCGUGAAAGCGUGGGGAGCAAACAGGAUUAGAUACCCGCGUAGUC